UAAAUUGUCAUUUUCGCUUGACUGACUUCCUUUGCUUCUAGUCGGAUCCCAUUUCCAUUCCCAUUCCCAUUUGCAUACAUAGCCAGCCACCACACUGGACCCGACCACAACAACAACACACAAAUCUUUGGUUUGUCCAUCGCCUCACGCCUGCAGUUCAAAUCUCUCUCUCUCUCUCUGUCGUGUUUUCUAAGUUUGAUCCUCC
rnacentral:lncRNA from 1 species